rnacentral:misc_RNA from 1 species
UCUCCGUAGGUGAACCUGCGGAGGGAUCAUUACAGAGUUCAUGCCCUACCGGGUAGAUCUCCCACCCUAUGUUAUUAUUACUUUGUUGCUUUGGCGGGCCGUUAGGCUCCGGCCCGACUACCGGCCCCGGCUGGUAAGCGCCCGCCAGAGGACCCAAAACUCUGAAUGUUAGUGUCGUCUGAGUACUAUAUAAUAGUUAAAACUUUCAACAACGGAUCUCUUGGUUCUG